CCUACGGGAGGCAGCAGUGAGGAAUAUUGGUCAAUGGACGAGAGUCUGAUCCAGCCAAGUAGCGUGAAGGAUGACUUACCUCUGGGUUGUAAACUUCUUUUAUAUGGGAAUGAAAUGUUGCUAGUGGGGGAUUUUGUCUGUACCAAAUGAAUAAGGAUCGGCUAACUACGUGCCAGCAGCCGCGGUAAUACGGAGGAUCCGAGCGUUAUCCGGAUUUAUUGGGUUUAAAGGGAGCGUAGGUGGAUUGUUAAGUCAGUUGUGAAAGUUUGCGGCUCAACCGUAAAAUUGCAGUUGAAACUGGCAGUCUUGAGUACAGUAGAGGUGAGCGGAAUUCGUGGUGUAGCGGUGAAAUGCGUAGAUAUUACGAAGAACUCCGAUUGCGAAGGCAGCUCACUGGACUGCAACUGACAUUGAGGCUCGAAAGUGUGGGUAUCAAACAGGAUUAGAUACCCGGGUAGUC
rnacentral:rRNA from 1 species